UGGGGAAUAUUGGACAAUGGGCGCAAGCCUGAUCCAGCCAUGCCGCGUGAGUGACGAAGGUCUUCGGAUUGUAAAAUCCUUUCGCCGAGGACGAUAAUGACGGUACUCGGAGAAGAAGCUCCGGCUAACUUCGUGCCAGCAGCCGCGGUAAUACGAAGGGGGCUAGCGUUGUUCGGAUUUACUGGGCGUAAAGCGCAUGUAGGCGGGCCGUUAAGUUAGGGGUGAAAUCCCGAGGCUCAACCUCGGAACUGCCUCUAAAACUGGCGGCCUGGACCUAAGUAGAGGCAAGUGGAAUUGCGAGUGUAGAGGUGAAAUUCGUAGAUAUUCGCAGGAACACCAGUGGCGAAGGCGACUUGCUGGACUUAUGGUGACGCUGAGAUGCGAAAGCGUGGGGAGCAAACAGGAUUAGAUACCCCCGUAGUCCCUGAGCGGGCUGGCAAGGCGCAU
rnacentral:rRNA from 1 species